rnacentral:rRNA from 1 species
GUGAGGAAUAUUGCGCAAUGGGGGCAACCCUGACGCAGCAACGCCGCGUGAGUGAGGAAGGUUUUCGGACCGUAAAGCUCUGUCGAGCGGGAAGAAAUGCAUAGUGGCUAAUAUCCAUUAUGCUUGACGGUACCGCUAAAGGAAGCACCGGCUAACUCCGUGCCAGCAGCCGCGGUAAUACGGGGGGUGCUAGCGUUGUUCGGAAUCAUUGGGCGUAAAGAGCGUGUAGGCGGCUGGAUAAGUCAGAUGUGAAAGCCCUGGGCUUAACCCAGGAAGUGCAUUUGAAACUGUUCAGCUUGAGUAAGGGAGAGGAAAGUGGAAUUCCUGGUGUAGAGGUGAAAUUCGUAGAUAUCAGGAGGAACACCGGUGGCGAAGGCGACUUUCUGGCCCUAUACUGACGCUGAGACGCGAGAGCGUGGGUAGCAAACAGGAUUAGAAACCCUAGUAGUCC